CGUAGGAGACGAGCGUUAUCCGGAUUUACUGGGCGUAAAGCGUGUGCAGGCGGUUCGGCAAGUUGGAUGUGAAAUCUCCCGGCUCAACUGGGAGGGGUCGUUCAAUACUACCGAACUUGAGGUCAUCAGAGGAAGGUGGAAUUCCGGGUGUAGUGGUGAAAUGCGUAGAUAUCCGGAGGAACACCAGUGGCGAAGGCGGCCUUCUGGGAUGAUCCUGACGCUCAGACACGAAAGCUAGGGGAGCGAACGGGAUUAGAGACCCCGGUAGUCCUAGCUGUAAACGAUGUAGACUUGGCGUCGGAGGGCUCAAAACCUUCGGUGUCGUAGCUAACGCGAUAAGUCUACCGCCUGGGGACUACGGCCGCAAGGUUA
rnacentral:rRNA from 1 species